GCCAACGCGACAACAACCGCAGAUUCCGACGCGAUUGUACUUGCUCAAGCUGUUGUGUUUAUUCAUCUACUUGCUGUAAUUAAGUUCGUGCCCCGCAAACUAUCUAGAGUUUGACGUUCCUCUAAGAUACACACGGGAUCGUUGGCUUAGCUCUGUGUCGCGGUGAUUAUCUGCAGUCGUUUUAUUGGAUGAUUUACAAGCUUUUCUCGGCAGAGGAUGUGAACAUUGGCGGAGUUCCGUGUGCUUCCAGGCCAGGGUUGCCAGGUUCUCAAAACCACCAGUUACUACUAUAAAAAAAAAAAAAAAAAAAAAAAAGAAUACGGUCUUGGCAACGCUGGUGCUUUCCGAGAUGUCACGUCAGUGCUGCUUUGGUCUCAACACCUGAAAAGACUUUGGUCUCAAUCAACAAAUAUUCAUCUGUACGCUCACGUGAACCUGCAGGAAUGAAGUCUCUCCGGACCAGCAGAGAGAAUUAAGGCUGCCAGUCUCUUCGGCAUCUCGCCUCCAUCACUUCACAAGUCUACAGCAUUAUAAGUAUCAUUUUGUUCUAUGCACUUGCGGCGCCUGGGCAUUAAUUUAUUCUCUGCAAGGAUUUAUACUUACACGUUCAAAUAAAGCACUGGGCGUUUCGUGCUUGUUUAUUGACUUGCACAGCAUAAUUAAGAUGUUGAUCAUAGUGCAUGCAAUUCUCUGAAUUUCUUCGUAAUGAGGCACUUUAAGGCUCAUCAUAAACGCUACAAUCUUUAUACUGAUAAAGAUUUUUCGCAUUUCUUAAAAAAAAAGCUCUGUCUAGCACACUUGAGAUUCGCUGUUUUAAUCCUAUGCUUUAAUAUUUGUUUAUUCAGUCUUUCAUUUGCGUUAUUCCUGAAAAGUUCAUACUCUAAUGGGAUUCUAUGGUUGCAGAUGCAGGGAACCGCUGCUCUCACCUCAUCUUUACAUGGCUUACUCUUGGGCUAGCGAAUUAUGAACACUGGAUCUACCAAGCUGAUGCGUAUAUGGACCCUUCUUUUGAGUCGUAGGUAAGAUUCGGCUCAAUGCUCAGUCAGCAGGCAUAUAACUCCACGUGACACGAGUUGCUGCUGACCUUAUUUCAGAGUAGUGACAUAUCUCCAGUUUAAACGAAUAUUAAUUAGCAGGCAUGGUUUGUUUGCACUCCUGGUCUCCGUCUCAAGGCGCGGUCGCACUAGACUUUAAACAUGCGAAAUUAUUUCGAACGCCACUGCGAAUAUGGGCGGGAGCAAGAUAAAACAGUCUCCCCUCAAUUAUCACAAGAUGGAUUAUUAUUUUUUUCUAGCACUGUGUCUUUUGCCACGGGGUCGAAAGCGUUUUAUUAUUGUAACGUUACUCUGUAUCUCUCUAUAAAUAUAUACACCCUAAGGGAGGAGGGGGAGAAGAAAGAAGAAGAGAAAAAAUUUUUAUAAAACGUUGUCAUUCCAAUGUAUCACCGGUUCCCGUCGACACUACAAACCAUGCAGCUUUUCUUUUAUAAAUCUUUUAAUGUAUUAUAAACUAGGACGCUGUGCAACAGCUAAAGUGUAUAUAGCGCUUCCUUUUUGAAUUUUUGUACAGAGGCCAUGCAGCAAUGUAUCGCUCUUCUACUGGUCCACAUUCUCACGUUAUGCAAAUUCCCUGGUCAGAGUUCACCAAACUUGAACUUUGGAACGCAGUGAAAUGCAAAAUUUUUCGCAUAAGCUUGCGUUUCCGGUCCGACGCAUUCGCAUGCGUAUGAAUGGAAGUCAAUGGAGGGAAAAGUGCAGUGUGACCGCCCAUCACUCAUAACUAACUAACGGCCGGAGGGGCGCGUUAAGUAGGUUCUGCUCAUGCUGUCAAACUGACGUCAUCAGAAAAAUUAUUCGUUACAGGGUGGAAAUAUUCAGAAUUUGAUAAGAUUGCUAAGACAAACAAUGUUUAAUUGUUUACAUCAAGAUUAGCAAUGUGUGCUAGUAAGCGUAAGUCAAUUCGAUUUAUGCAUAUUUUAAACUUAACCUCUGAUACCUCAACUUAAAAUUAUAAAAGAAAAAAAAAAAAAAAAUUGGGGAGUGACAGUUAAGGGGUUAAGCUACAAUCAAGGCUUGUUUAUAUUCGCGCAUCUACUGGUGUUGGUUCAUCACUCUUACUCAGCCGUUGCGGCUUUCACUUUACACUUUUAAACUUUCAGACAGCUGUGCCCUCAGCAAACCCGGAUUCUUCAGUUUGCCCUCCGUUAGCAGACAUAAUACUAAACGAAGUGCUUACGUCAGCUGGAAAUCACAUUUCUAAGGCGUCGCUCCCUCUACAAUCAAGCCUACACGUUUGCAUGGUCCGCUUCUAAUGUUUUUCCUUCCAAUUUUUGCGUUCCUAUUCUAAUUUCGACCGUUGCUCCGUUCUUGUCAAAAAAAAAAAAAAAAAAAAAAAAUCGCAAUCUUAAUUUCUCUAUUCGCAGACUCCUUGCCAGCAUCUAAUCCACGCUAAAUUUUAUAAUCUAGUUUUCAAGCCUUUUGGUUAUUCAGUUCUAUUACUACUUGAGGGGUUAGCUAAAUCUUCCAACAAAUUAAAGACAAAUGUCUGCCUAUUACCCUGCCCAUAUUGCAAAAUGAAUUACUUCCAUCUGCUAAGGCCUUCCUUCAAAGUACCUCAAUAUUCUUCUGGAGGCAGUGUUUAUCUGCCUUCUACAGGUUAUGCUUCCAGGGGAAUUCACUUCAAACCAAUCAAUUUGAUCCUGCUCGUGGCAUUUCCUUCAGAUCUAUGAUUCGGACCAAAAAUUCUUCACACUCUCCUCAAGCACUCAAAAACCGAUGUGUAAGGUUCUGGUGUCACCUUAACAAUUCUAAAAUCAAUAAUCCUGUCCCUUCUCUGCAUGGUGAAAUUUCUUAAAAAUCCGACCUAGAAUUUCUAAAACGAACCAGCUCUAUUUUUCCUAACGGAACCCCCUUUCCAAGGCUGUUUAGAACUCCCUUAACCACUGUUCUCAAAGCUGCAGUCUAUCUACUGGCCAUUCAUUCAGAAUUGGGGCAGCUACUUCAGCAGCUGAAUGAGGGAUCUCUACAUCAGCUGUUAAGAUCAUGGGCAGAUGGUCUUCCUAAGCAUUUGAAUCAUACAUCAGACCUGAUUCAAAACCAUUAUUGAAGCUCAGCAAGCUCUCCUGUAACUAAUCAGGAACCUUAGGAUUCACAACUGGUGGGUAUACUUCAUCUACUUUUUUGGGGGGAAGGCUGGCCCUGUCUGGAGGUCUCAUAAUCCACCUAAUUUUGGGGGUCUGCUGCGCCCCUGCCUUCGUCUUCAGGCAGGAAAUGCAGAUUCGCUACCCUCGGAUUACGAACCAUGGACGGGGCCUUCCGCCAAAGAAAUUUAUAAUUGUGCUCGCUGAGCUGUCAAUAAAUGUAUGCUUCGUACAUUCCUCUA